rnacentral:rRNA from 1 species
UACGAAGGGGGGCUAGCGUUGCUCGGAAUCACUGGGCGUAAAGCGCACGUAGGCGGAUUGUUAAGUCGGGGGGUGAAAUCCUGGAGCUCAACUCCAGAACUGCCUUCGAUACUGGCGAUCUCGAGUCCGGGAGAGGUGAGUGGAACUCCGAGUGUAGAGGUGAAAUUCGUAGAUAUUUCGGAAGAACACCAGUGGCGAAGGCGGCUCACUGGCCCGGUACUGACGCUGAGGUGCGAAAGCGUGGGGGAGCAAACAGG